UGGCUUAAAAGGACAAAGAUUAGUCAGCAUUGACUCCUUCCCUCUCCACCCCUUCUCUGAAGGUAUAUCUCUCUAACUGGUCCAUUAUCAUGGGAAGAAAGAAAGAUUUCAACUUCUUUAAGCAAGAAAAGUUAUCUUUUUGUGAAAAAUUAGAAAGCUUGGCUAGGAAUUCUUCUGUUCUCUAAAUGAAGAAGUAUCUCCGAGGUUGGUACUGGAAUUCUAUGAAAAUGCCUCUAUGAAAUCUAAUGCACUUAUCUUUAAGGUA
rnacentral:lncRNA from 1 species